rnacentral:misc_RNA from 1 species
AUUACAUGGAAUCGGUCAUUUAAAGGAAUUCCUAGUGUUGAUGACGAUAAGGAUGAUUUUGACAGAGAGGAGCAUGAAACUCAUGCUACUGUGUUGGAUAAGAUGCUGGCUUGGGAAAAGAAGCUUUACGAUGAAGUCAAGGCAGGUGAAAUUAUGAAAUUUGAGUAUCAAAGGAAGGUUGCUUUGCUGAAUAAGCGGAAGAAACAGGGUGGUAACUAUGAGUCAUUGGAGAAAUUAAAAGCAGAUGUAAGCCAUCUGCAUACAAGAUACAUUGUAGACAUGCAAUCACUGGACUCCACGGUUGCUGAGAUAAAUCGUUUACGUGAUGAACAAUUAUAUCCAAAACUUGUUCAGCUUGUUGAUGGGAUGGCCGCAAUGUGGAGUACCAUGAAAUUGCACCAUGAGGCCCAGUUGAAGCUUUUAAAUGCUCUUAAAUAUGUGGACAUUUCUCAGUCCCCCAAGGAAACUAGUGAAUAUCAUUAUGAUCGUACUUGUCAGCUAUGUGCAAUUAUAAGAGAUUGGCAUACACAUUUUUGUCGACUUACAGACUUUCAGAAAGAUUACAUAAAGGCACUCAACAAUUGGUUAAAGCUAAAUCUCAUCCCUAUUGAGAGCAAUUUGAAAGAAAAGGUUUCUUCUCCGCCAAGGGUUCAUAAUCCUCCAAUUCAUGCGCUUCUCAUAGCUUGGCGCGAUGAUUUGGAAAAACUUCCUGACGAGGUUGCUAGAAGUGCAAUAGGUAAUUUUGCUGCUGUAUUACAGACCAUCGUGAAUUAUCAAGAAGAGGAGAUGAAGACAAGAGAAAAAUGUGAGGCCAUGCGAAAGGAGCUUGCCCGCAAGACCAAGCAAUUUGAUGACUGGAAACAAAAGCAUAAUAUAGGUUUUGCAAAUAAGGGAUCUGAUCAUGACAUGGCAGAAGACAACCCCCACAGGGAUGCCAUGGUAGAUAGACAGAUUGUCUUGGAUUCUUUGAGCAAGCAGUUGGAAAACGAGGAAGCUUGCCAAAAGCUUAGCCUACA